GUUCACAGAGCUCUGUGUCCAAGCACAUUAAUAGAGAGGCGAAGGGAAGGAAAAGAUGUGGUAGAAAAAAGUGUCCAAGCAAUAGGGAUAACCGCACCCUGGAGAGGAUUGUGAAACAAAACCCAUUCAAAAAUGUGGGGGAGAUUCA